UGUUGGUCAAAAGUGAUAAGCAUUUUAAUUAUAAUACUAGUGCUUGUAUUUAUGAUUUUUCCGCCAUUUCAAUUACAAUCAUCCUAAAAUUGCUGUAAUUGCUCAUUGUUGCAUUUGGUGUGAAGCUCCAUGCCAUGCUUAGCUCCUCAAUUUACCGUUGGAGUGCUUGUGUCAGGAACCUGCCCGGACAGUCUUGUCUUUGUUCAAUGUUUUACUGUUUGUUUUGUGUCUAAGCACAUGGUUCUGUCUCUGUUUGUGUCUGCCACAUGCUCCUCUCAUCCCACCUCCUUGUUUCCCUUGGUCACGCCCCCUUGUUUAGCCCUUGUCUGCUUGAUUGUUUUCACCUGAUCCUCAUGUGUGCUGCUCUAUAUAUUGGGUUUCCUUUCCUUGUGUCUCUGCUGGUUCAUUUUUGAUGUUUACCUGUCUCUUGGCCCAGAAUUUUUCCCUUUGAUCUUGAGCAUUAUUUUUUGAUCUCUUAUUUAGAUAUUUAUAUCCUUUUUGGUCUUUAGUUUUGUCUAGCUUAAGAAUGGAAAGAAAAAGAAAUUUGUUGUGCAUUCUAAUCUAGUUUUUUUUCUCAUUUGAUUUUGAUUUUCUUCUACUCUUGUUUAAGUGAUUCCAGUUUUGGAUCUUGGCUUUUUGUUUUUACUCUUUGAUUAUAUCUUUGGGUAGCUUUGGUUAUUUCUUUUGCAUUGUUCUUAUUGUUUUCAAUUGUCUUACUGUUGUGGCAUUUUGAGUCUCGUCUUGUUUGUUUUUGUGUUUGUCUUGUCUUACCCUAUCUCAGAAUCCUUGGCCACUGAACCCCACUGCUUGGAAGCAGCUCACCUCUCUCACGUGUCAAGACUCUGGUCCCGUGAGCCCCUACCUGGCGGCUAGACUAGUGACAUUAGAGUGUCACUUAAAGCUACGGGUUUCCUGUGUGUCUGCCUGGUCCUUCCUCUUGAGCUGCCUCCUCUGUGCUUGAGCCUGUGGUCAUCUCGGACUGUCUCUGAGGCCAUCCCUCCUGCCUGUAUUGUUGUCUGCCCUGCCCCUCUGUUUGAACUGUUUCACUGCAAAUUCCUCCAGCUGUUCCAGUCUAUGUUUUGUUAAUAAAAUACCCUUGUCUGCUCAUUCUGCAUUUGGGUCCCAUUUCCUGCAGAUCCGUGACAGCUUGGCCCCGUAAUUGCUGCUUGCAGCUAUAUUUUAUUCUUCUAUUUUUAUUGUUUACUUUUAUUUCUUUCUUUCAUAGCUAUAUUUUUGUAAAUUUUCAUCCGUUGUUUUAUUCUUUAAUAAUUGCACUGUCCAUGGAGCGGACCUGACUCACAUUUCACUGCUGGUUAUAUAUGCUCUAUAUAAUUGUGUAUGUGAUGAAUAAAAAUCUUGAAUCUUAAAUCUAACAAAUUAAAGUGAUUAUAUAUUCCAGUACAUAGUUUGCUUAGACAUUAGCUUAAAUUCUUUUAAUAUUACGAAGACAGAUUUAAUUUUACAGAUUUUUUUUUUUUUGCUGAACUCAGUAUCAGCACUCAGACAGAUAGCAGAAGUGAAAAAAACAAAAACCUAAAAAUGACCACAUUUUUUCCACUUAGUUUCUCAUAUUCAAUUAUGCUCACGUUGCAAGUUAAUUUCAAAUUAACAUUUUACAUUGUUAUUAGUGUCUUGCAUUAUGUAUUUAUGUCUGCAUUUACUUUUAGUUAGUUGUAUUUUUUUCUUAUUUCCUUUUCAUGUGUUUUACUCUGUGAUAACAAUGGCCUUAUUCUUUCUUGUCAAAUCUACAGUUACUGCUGGGAAUGUAGUUCCAGUCAUGUUGGCACUUGUUACAGUGUUAUGCUGGUCUUUGAUUUGCUGGCUAAUGUGCUGAAGAAUCAUCUGCCACAACUGCACGGUUUUCAGUAUUUUAUUCAACUUCUGUACUUAAGUUUUAGUGGUCAAAGUGGUCUCAUUUAACUGCAUUGAUGUGUCUUCAUGACACAAAGUAGGUACAUCUGUUGCUAAUUUGACAUCAAAUAAUUUACAUGCCAGGAGGAGGCAAGCA
ensembl:lncRNA